GUCUAUGGCCAUGCCAUCCUGAACAAGCCCAAUGUCUGAUCUCGGAAGCUAAGCAGGGGUGGGCCUGGUUAGUACUUGGAUGGGAGACCACCUAGGGAGACCAGGUGCUGUAGGCA
rnacentral:rRNA from 1 species